rnacentral:rRNA from 1 species
AGCGUACACGGUGGAUGCCCUGGCAGUCAGAGGCGAUGAAGGACGUGCUAAUCUGCGAUAAGCGUCGGUAAGGUGAUAUGAACCGUUAUAACCGGCGAUUUCCGAAUGGGGAAACCCAGUGUGAUUCGUCACACUAUCAUUAACUGAAUCCAUAGGUUAAUGAGGCGAACCGGGGGAACUGAAACAUCUAAGUACCCCGAGGAAAAGAAAUCAACCGAGAUUCCCCCAGUAGCGGCGAGCGAACGGGGAGCAGCCCAGAGCCUGAAUCAGUGUGUGUGUUAGUGGAAGCGUCUGGAAAGGCGCGCGAUACAGGGUGACAGCCCCGUACACAAAAAUGCACAUGCUGUGAGCUCGAUGAGUAGGGCGGGACACGUGGUAUCCUGUCUGAAUAUGGGGGGACCAUCCUCCAAGGCUAAAUACUCCUGACUGACCGAUAGUGAACCAGUACCGUGAGGGAAAGGCGAAAAGAACCCCGGCGAGGGGAGUGAAAAAGAACCUGAAACCGUGUACGUACAAGCAGUGGGAGCACGCUUAGGCGUGUGACUGCGUACCUUUUGUAUAAUGGGUCAGCGACUUAUAUUCUGUAGCAAGGUUAACCGAAUAGGGGAGCCGAAGGGAAACCGAGUCUUAACUGGGCGUUAAGUUGCAGGGUAUAGACCCGAAACCCGGUGAUCUAGCCAUGGGCAGGUUGAAGGUUGGGUAACACUAACUGGAGGACCGAACCGACUAAUGUUGAAAAAUUAGCGGAUGACUUGUGGCUGGGGGUGAAAGGCCAAUCAAACCGGGAGAUAGCUGGUUCUCCCCGAAAGCUAUUUAGGUAGCGCCUCGUGAAUUCAUCUCCGGGGGUAGAGCACUGUUUCGGCAAGGGGGUCAUCCCGACUUACCAACCCGAUGCAAACUGCGAAUACCGGAGAAUGUUAUCACGGGAGACACACGGCGGGUGCUAACGUCCGUCGUGAAGAGGGAAACAACCCAGACCGCCAGCUAAGGUCCCAAAGUCAUGGUUAAGUGGGAAACGAUGUGGGAAGGCCCAGACAGCCAGGAUGUUGGCUUAGAAGCAGCCAUCAUUUAAAGAAAGCGUAAUAGCUCACUGGUCGAGUCGGCCUGCGCGGAAGAUGUAACGGGGCUAAACCAUGCACCGAAGCUGCGGCAGCGACGCUGAUGCGUUGUUGGGUAGGGGAGCGUUCUGUAAGCCUGCGAAGGUGUGCUGUGAGGCAUGCUGGAGGUAUCAGAAGUGCGAAUGCUGACAUAAGUAACGAUAAAGCGGGUGAAAAGCCCGCUCGCCGGAAGACCAAGGGUUCCUGUCCAACGUUAAUCGGGGCAGGGUGAGUCGACCCCUAAGGCGAGGCCGAAAGGCGUAGUCGAUGGGAAACAGGUUAAUAUUCCUGUACUUGGUGUUACUGCGAAGGGGGGACGGAGAAGGCUAUGUUGGCCGGGCGACGGUUGUCCCGGUUUAAGCGUGUAGGCUGGUUUUCCAGGCAAAUCCGGAAAAUCAAGGCUGAGGCGUGAUGACGAGGCACUACGGUGCUGAAGCAACAAAUGCCCUGCUUCCAGGAAAAGCCUCUAAGCAUCAGGUAACAUCAAAUCGUACCCCAAACCGACACAGGUGGUCAGGUAGAGAAUACCAAGGCGCUUGAGAGAACUCGGGUGAAGGAACUAGGCAAAAUGGUGCCGUAACUUCGGGAGAAGGCACGCUGAUAUGUAGGUGAAGUCCCUCGCGGAUGGAGCUGAAAUCAGUCGAAGAUACCAGCUGGCUGCAACUGUUUAUUAAAAACACAGCACUGUGCAAACACGAAAGUGGACGUAUACGGUGUGACGCCUGCCCGGUGCCGGAAGGUUAAUUGAUGGGGUCAGCGCAAGCGAAGCUCUUGAUCGAAGCCCCGGUAAACGGCGGCCGUAACUAUAACGGUCCUAAGGUAGCGAAAUUCCUUGUCGGGUAAGUUCCGACCUGCACGAAUGGCGUAAUGAUGGCCAGGCUGUCUCCACCCGAGACUCAGUGAAAUUGAACUCGCUGUGAAGAUGCAGUGUACCCGCGGCAAGACGGAAAGACCCCGUGAACCUUUACUAUAGCUUGACACUGAACAUUGAGCCUUGAUGUGUAGGAUAGGUGGGAGGCUUUGAAGUGUGGACGCCAGUCUGCAUGGAGCCGACCUUGAAAUACCACCCUUUAAUGUUUGAUGUUCUAACGUGGACCCGUGAUCCGGGUUGCGGACAGUGUCUGGUGGGUAGUUUGACUGGGGCGGUCUCCUCCUAAAGAGUAACGGAGGAGCACGAAGGUUGGCUAAUCCUGGUCGGACAUCAGGAGGUUAGUGCAAUGGCAUAAGCCAGCUUGACUGCGAGCGUGACGGCGCGAGCAGGUGCGAAAGCAGGUCAUAGUGAUCCGGUGGUUCUGAAUGGAAGGGCCAUCGCUCAACGGAUAAAAGGUACUCCGGGGAUAACAGGCUGAUACCGCCCAAGAGUUCAUAUCGACGGCGGUGUUUGGCACCUCGAUGUCGGCUCAUCACAUCCUGGGGCUGAAGUAGGUCCCAAGGGUAUGGCUGUUCGCCAUUUAAAGUGGUACGCGAGCUGGGUUUAGAACGUCGUGAGACAGUUCGGUCCCUAUCUGCCGUGGGCGCUGGAGAACUGAGGGGGGCUGCUCCUAGUACGAGAGGACCGGAGUGGACGCAUCACUGGUGUUCGGGUUGUCAUGCCAAUGGCACUGCCCGGUAGCUAAAUGCGGAAGAGAUAAGUGCUGAAAGCAUCUAAGCACGAAACUUGCCCCGAGAUGAGUUCUCCCUGACUCCUUGA